CUCCCAGGUACCAGGGCUGGGACUUGAAGCACAGAAGAGGCACACAACAGCAUCCAAGCCUCAGAAGAGCACAGGCCUUGCAGUGGCGCCAUCCUGGGCUCAGCGCCAGGUGCUGCCAUUCAGCCCACCCCCUGCUUCCUCGGCCAGCGAAGUUGGGGAGGACAGUCCGUCCUCCCAAGGGACUCUAAAGAUCGCCUCAUACAGAAAGGACUGCAGAGCUCCAUGGAGCACUGGGAUGGCAGAAAUUCAGCGAGGAUGGCCCUGAACUGAUGUCCCUGAAGAGCUGUGAGGGUGAGUCCAGGGCCUCAUUCCCUCCUAGCCUGCUGGAGGAGGAGGAUCCAGGGCCCUGGGCCCAGCGACCACAGAACACCAGUUCAACUGACCAGGAGCUGCUCAGCUCCCUCGGCCUCUCCUGUAAGGCCCUGGUGGCCUCAGGGUGCUUGCCUUUCUUCCGCACCUGUCAGUGGCUCCCGGCCCUGCAGCCUGAGGUUUGCGCGGACCAAGGAGGUCAGACGGCCAGGCAGGAACCACUGGAGGAUGCGGCACCGCCCAGCGGCUUCUUCCCUUACUAUCGCUCCGAGGAAGACACUCUCCCCAGCCUGGUCCUUCCCAGCCAGCAGCACUGGGGCUCCCAGGACGCUCUCUCCGGUGGGGAGACACAGGAGGACUGCUUCUGCGAGACCCCCGUCAGGGAUGGAUACCCUGCUUCUGCUGCAGGCUCCGACUUCAUCUCCAGGUCCUCACACUUACUGGCCUGCUGCCCCGUGCUACUGGUCUCAGCAGGGAGCUCCCUUGAUGGUGCUCUGGAUGCUCCUGUCUCCGGGACCCAAGGCCUUUGUGCCUCAGGAUUUGUGCCUUACUACAGAAGCGCCGAGGAGGAGCUGCGCACUGACCCAGGGCCUCCCGCCUCCGUGCCUGGGAGAGACUAGGAGCUGCUGGGGGCUGCGCACUGGCACCCAGCUCUCAGCAAAGGCGGAAGGUGGCUGGAGGUGAGCUCCCAUAGCUGUCAGUUUCCCCCAUCUAGAGCUGGGCUGGGGUCCAGCCCUCAGCCCUUUGUCCCUCCUGCCUCAGGGCCCUCAACCUCGGACCAAGUGACACCCCUCCCUGCCUGCCUAACCGGCAGGAGGAACUGACCCACCCUCUGAGGCUCACCCCAUUCCCUCAGGGCCCCAAGCUGCAUAUGCUGACAUGGCGCUUCCUGUGCCCCAGCCCACCUAAGCAGGCUGCGGUUGGCCCCUCUCCUGAAGGAACAGGGAGCAGCUCCGCCACCCAACCCCGCCAUAUGCAGCGACCCGUCCAGCUCCAGCUUUCCCCCCACAUUGUUCUCCUAGCUCAAAAAACUGCCCAACAAGGAACGAGCCGCCGCAGCUGAAGUGGUUCUGCCGUGGAAUGACUGCCUGGUCCAGCACUCCAGCCUAGACUGUUCCUCCCGUAGUCUGCCCUAAGCUGGGAGCCGGAAGAGCAGGGACUAGCCCGAGCAACGGAGGAGCACAGGUGCCAGGAGUUCGGUUUUCUAAAUAAACCAUAUCACUAUCACUACAGGGCUGGGGUCAGUGCACUGGUUUUGG
ensembl:lincRNA uncharacterized LOC102010231